rnacentral:rRNA from 1 species
UACAGAGGGGGCGAGCGUUGUUCGGAAUUACUGGGCGUAAAGGGCGCGUAGGCGGCCAACUAAGUCAGACGUGAAAUCCCUCGGCUCAACCGGGGAACUGCGUCUGAUACUGGAUGGCUUGAAUUCGGGAGAGGGAUGCGGAAUUCCAGGUGUAGCGGUGAAAUGCGUAGAUAUCUGGAGGAACACCGGUGGCGAAGGCGGCAUCCUGGACCAACACUGACACUGAAAAGCGAAAGCCAGGGGAGCAAACGGG